AGCGUCGACGAAACACGUCGAUGCAACCCGCCCCUGACUCCGGGAUAAGCGGUGGAAACGCCGUCUAAUACCGGAUAUGACACACCAUCUCCUGGUGGUGUGUGGAAAGUUUUGUCGGUCAGGGAUGGGCUCGCGGCCUAUCAGCUAGUUGGUGGGGUAAAGGCCUACCAAGGCGAUUACGGGUAGCCGGCCUGAGAGGGCGACCGGCCACACUGGGACUGAGACACGGCCCAGACUCCUGCGGGAGGCAGCAGUGGGGAAUAUUGCACAAUGGGCGAAAGCCUGAUGCAGCGACGCCGCGUGGGGGAUGACGGCCUUCGGGUUGUAAACCUCUUUUACCACCAACGCAGGCCCCGGGUUCUCUCGGGGUUGACGGUAGGUGGGGAAUAAGGACCGGCUAACUACGUGCCAGCAGCCGCGGUAAUACGUAGGGUCCGAGCGUUGUCCGGAAUUAUUGGGCGUAAAGAGCUCGUAGGCGGCGUGUCGCGUCUGCUGUGAAAGACCGGGGCUUAACCCCGGUUCUGCAGUGGAUACGGGCAUGCUAGAGGUAGGUAGGGGAGACUGGAAUUCCUGGUGUAGCGGUGAAAUGCGCAGAUAUCAGGAGGAACACCGGUGGCGAAGGCGGGUCUCUGGGCCUUACCUGACGCUGAGGAGCGAAAGCAUGGGGAGCGAACAGGAUUAGAUACCCUGGUAGUCCAUGCCGUAAACGUUGGGCGCUAGGUGUGGGGACUUUCCACGGUUUCCGCGCCGUAGCUAACGCAUUAAGCGCCCCGCCUGGGGAGUACGGCCGCAAGGCUAAAACUCAAAGGAAUUGACGGGGGCCCGCACAAGCGGCGGAGCAUGUUGCUUAAUUCGACGCAACGCGAAGAACCUUACCAAGGUUUGACAUCACCCGUGGACCUGUAGAGAUACAGGGUCAUUUAGUUGGUGGGUGACAGGUGGUGCAUGGCUGUCGUCAGCUCGUGUCGUGAGAUGUUGGGUUAAGUCCCGCAACGAGCGCAACCCUUGUUCCAUGUUGCCAGCACGUAAUGGUGGGGACUCAUGGGAGACUGCCGGGGUCAACUCGGAGGAAGGUGGGGACGACGUCAAGUCAUCAUGCCCCUUAUGUCUUGGGCUGCAAACAUGCUACAAUGGCCGGUACAAUGGGCGUGCGAUACCGUAAGGUGGAGCGAAUCCCUUAAAGCCGGUCUCAGUUCGGAUUGGGGUCUGCAACUCGACCCCAUGAAGGUGGAGUCGCUAGUCAAUCUGCAGGGAUGGAGCUAUCAGAUCCGGUGC
rnacentral:rRNA from 1 species